rnacentral:rRNA from 1 species
UACGGGGGGGGCAAGCGUUGUUCGGAAUUACUGGGCGUAAAGGGCUCGUAGGCGGCCAACUAAGUCAGACGUGAAAUCCCUAGGCUCAACCUAGGAACUGCGUCUGAUACUGGAUGGCUUGAAUCCGGGAGAGGGAUGCAGAAUUCCAGGUGUAGCGGUGAAAUGCGUAGAUAUCUGGAGGAAUACCGGUGGCGAAGGCGGCAUCCUGGACCGGCAUUGACGCUGAGGAGCGAAAGCGUGGGGAGCGAACAGG